GCAGACUUGGCUGUACAAGACCCUCGCUGCUCUACUUUCGCACGUCUUGCUACAAGUUGCUACGCACUCUGUACCCAGCUUGGAGACAUCUUCUCGUAUUUUGCUUGGAAAGGCAGAAUCUCCAGAAUCCAUAGUCGUCCAGACCUGCGUAGCGAUGAUCAGUACAGCCAGACAUCUGUGAACUUCGUUGAGACGGAACCUGCAAAUUGAAUUCGUCUCCUGUUUAAAGACGAGAAGAUAAAAGGGCAGCACGGGAUGUGAGUGGUGUCCAUCUACCGUGCGAGUCUGGCGCUCGGAUGGCGCGACAUGUGCUGCGGAGUGGGCUCCCUCGGUCUCCGGCAGAUCUGGAGCCUUCGGUCUCCGGUGGGCGCGCGUGGCACACAUUGGCGCUUCUGAUGCAUGGCUGCAGCCGAGAACUGUGGUGGUUCUUGACCGGGCGGGGCGGCUCAUGCUAUGUCCGAUGGCCCUGGUUCUGGUUGGUAGUUGAUGGAUCCGGUGGGUGGUGCUGGUGAUUGGCCGCCGGUGGUCUCAGC